UGGGGAAUAUUGGACAAUGGGCGAAAGCCUGAUCCAGCAAUGCCGCGUGAGUGAUGAAGGCCUUAGGGUUGUAAAGCUCUUUUGCCCGGGAUGAUAAUGACAGUACCGGGAGAAUAAGCCCCGGCUAACUCCGUGCCAGCAGCCGCGGUAAUACGGAGGGGGCUAGCGUUGUUCGGAAUUACUGGGCGUAAAGCGCGCGUAGGCGGCUUCGCAAGUCAGAGGUGAAAGCCCGGGGCUCAACCCCGGAACUGCCUUUGAGACUGCGUCGCUAGAAUCCGGGAGAGGUGAGUGGAAUUCCGAGUGUAGAGGUGAAAUUCGUAGAUAUUCGGAAGAACACCAGUGGCGAAGGCGGCUCACUGGACCGGUAUUGACGCUGAGGCGCGAAAGCGUGGGGAGCAAACAGG
rnacentral:rRNA from 1 species